UGACCACCAGGGGCCUGGGGGAGUAGGGAGGGCAUUUCCUGAAUGCUUUCCCAUUCACAUCUCAUUUGACCCAUGAGCAAAUAUGUGAGGUGCUAUCACUGGUGAGGUACACAGGGAACCCACGCUCGGAGACAUCUCAAGUCCUGCCUAAGGUCCCCAGCCAGAGCUUGAGCGCAGCCCUUUCCUCGGCACUAUGAGCAAGUGAGCAACCCCACCCCCCCGGACCAGUUUCCUCAUCUGUAAAAUGGGAAUCCCAAGUACUUUGCAGACCAUCGUGAGGUGCAGAGGAGGGAACGUGAACAGCUUUGCAGUUUGACAGUUGCUGCUGCGUCCCGGGCAUCUGUGACAGCCACCGGCCCUUCCUUACCCAGACGUGCCAGGCCAAGACCCACACCUGGAGCCAGGACUUCCAAGAAGCUCCCCACCCCGUGUACCCUCAUGUCCUCUGCAGGAGGCCGUGAUGGUGCCAGCACCCUUUUCCAGCAUGGUCCAGGGUCAAGGCACUUUCCAGAACACUGUCCCACUGGGCCACGGUCAGUGAGGAAAUUGCAAACUCUGAAGGAGCUGAAAACUGUGCUUUAUAAAUCCUCAGCUCUCAGAGUGGGAGGAAACCUCACGUUCAGCUAGAUGGGCCCCUCUCAAGUGCAGGAAUCUCAGCCGCCACACUACCUCUGGUGGCUGUCCAGCAUGAGCUUGUUUGCUCCCAGAAGCAGAGGGCUCACUCCCUUCCAAGGGAGACCCUUCUGCUGAAGAGUAAAUCUGCCGGUUCUUCCCUCUGUCCCACUCAC